rnacentral:rRNA from 1 species
CAAUAGCGUAUAUUUAAGUUGCUGCAGUUAAAAAGCUCGUAGUUGGAUUUCGGGUGGGAAUGGCCGGUCCGCCGUUUCGGUGUGCACUUUCUACGCCCACCUUGCUGCCGGGGACGUGCUCUUGAGUUCACGCUCGGGACACGGAGUCGGCGAGGUUACUUUGAGUAAAUUAGAGUGUUCAAAGCAGGCCUACGCUCUGAAUACAUUAGCAUGGAAUAACACGAUAGGACUCUGGCCUAUCUUGUUGGUCUGUAGGACCGGAGUAAUGAUUAAGAGGGACAGUCGGGGGCAUUCGUAUUUCAUUGUCAGAGGUGAAAUUCUUGGAUUUAUGAAAGACGAACUACUGCGAAAGCAUUUGCCAAGGAUGUUUUCAUUAA